rnacentral:rRNA from 1 species
UUCCCCUAGUAACUGCGAGUGAAGCGGGAAAAGCUCAAAUUUAAAAUCUGGUGGUCUUUGGCUACCCGAGUUGUAAUCUAGAGAAGCGUCAUCCGCACUGGACCAUGUAUAAAUCUCCUGGAAUGGAGUGUCAUAGAGGGUGAGAAUCCCGUCUUUGACAUGGACUACCAGGGCUUUGUGAUGCGCUCUCAAAGAGUCGAGUUGUUUGGGAAUGCAGCUCUAAAUGGGUGGUAAGUUCCAUCUAAAGCUAAAUAUUGGCAAGAGACCGAUAGCGAACAAGUACCGUGAGGGAAAGAUGAAAAGAACUUUGGAAAGAGAGUUAAACAGUACGUGAAAUUGUUGAAAGGGAAACGCUUGAAGUCAGUCAUAUUGGCCAGGGAUCAACCUUGCAGCUAUGCUUGGUGUACUUUCUGGUUGAUAGGUCAGCAUCAAUUUUGACCAGUGGAAAAAGUUCAGGGGAAUGUGGCAUCUUCGGAUGUGUUAUAGCCUUUGGCCAUAUACAUUGGUUGGGAUUGAGGAACUCAGCAUGCCGCAAGGCCAGGUUUUUAACCAUGUUCAUGCUUAGGAUGCUGGCAUAAUGGCUUUAAUCGACCCGUCUUGAAACACGGACCAAGGAGUCUAACAUACCUGCAAGUGUUUGGGUGGAAAACCCAAGCGCGUAAUGAAAGUGAAAGUUGGGAUCUCUGUCGUGGAGAGCACCGACGCCCGGACCAGACCUUCUGUGACGGAUCCGCGGUAGAG